UAGGGAAUCUUCCGCAAUGGACGAAAGUCUGACGGAGCAACGCCGCGUGAGUGAAGAAGGAUUUCGGUUCGUAAAACUCUGUUGUUAGGGAAGAAAAAAUGUAUAGUAACUAUAUACAAAAGAGACGGUACCUAACCAGAAAGCCACGGCUAACUACGUGCCAGCAGCCGCGGUAAUACGUAGGUGGCAAGCGUUGUCCGGAAUUAUUGGGCGUAAAGCGCGCGCAGGUGGUUUAGAAAGUCUGAUGUGAAAGCCCACGGCUCAACCGUGGAGGGUCAUUGGAAACUAAUCAACUUGGGUGCAGGAGAGAAAAGUGGAAUUCCUAGUGUAGCGGUGAAAUGCGUAGAGAUUAGGAGGAACACCGGUGGCGAAAGCGGCUUUUUGGCCUGCAACUGACACUGAGGCGCGAAAGCGUGGGGAGCAAACAGG
rnacentral:rRNA from 1 species